AUGCUCCAGAUGGUUCUCUUAUAGAAAGACUUCCGUCUCAUGUUCACACUUGUUCCAUGCAUCUAACUCUCAGCCAGGCCCUGAAACAGAACACUGGCAGUUGCUAUGAACAAGUGUCUGGAAUAUGUUCCUGGCAUUUCACCUACACUCUCUCUAAUCCUUCCAAGAAACCCACAGAGUAGGGCUUUGUCUUGAACUUUUCUUCCUCACAACAGUUAAAUCAUCCAUUUAAAGAUGUCAAACAAUCUCAGUGUUCUAAGGACACAGCAUGUGCAACCUCACAUGGAGUCUCUGACCAGACCAGACUUGCCAGAAAUUUCCUAGGAUCUCCCUUUCCUAAG